ACAAGGAUUGGUCAUAAAGUUACUUUUUCAUCACUGUCGUAACUGCAAACGGUCGCUAAAUGAGGACAACCUAUAACUCCCUGAUAAGAGUUAUGCUCAGGCUCCAAGAAACAGCACUAGCUGAAUCCAUGACACAGUCCUGCCCAUUUUGCCUGAUUGCUGUGUCCCUGUGACCUUUGGCCACUAAAGCUGCCCAUCUCAUGUAGCGACUCUACGUAUAUGAGAGACCACCAUGGAAUACCCGGGAUGCACACUAGACUGGGAAGCUGAAAACACAUUCUGGAGGAAAUCAGACCACUUCUGCAUUGCUAUCAUGAAAACUACAUGGAUGUGUCCAUGACAUCACCAAGGUUUAUGAAGGUUUUAUCUUUUACAUACAAGACAGAAAUAUCAGCAAUUUCUCAGCUGUUGAGUACAUGUGCCAUCAAUCCCUCCUCUCAGCACAAAAAUGUUAUAAUAAAAUUGCUAGUUGUAUAAUAAAAUUGGUUACCUACAAUACCAAUCCCUGAUUCUGUUGUAUCCCUGUCAAACUGUAUUGUCUUGAUUUAUGGAUGUGCUAGAUGCUCUAGCCAACUUGACUGUUUUUUUCUCUAGCACUGUGGCAGCCACCUUCUACAUGUUACCAGUCCAGAGGAAAACAUCCACGAGUCAGGGCACUUUAGCAUGAAAGGAGUGAGUUGAUAUUACUGCAUAGUCCCAAGACUCCACCUGGGCUUCUGUAGGCUUGUCUGUCUGUCCUUCUUUCCACACCCCAUCUGGAUAUCUCACAAGUUCAGAAUAAUGUGAAAUAAAGAAAACAUAUUGAAAAAUGGCUCCCAAUCAUAAGCAUUUUAUAUACUGCUAAAUGAACUGAGCAACUCCAAACAGAUUCUGAUUUGCCAAUGUAAUUUGAAAGGACACAUGAGGGCAGAAAGAGGAAGGAAAUAGAUGGCUGCUGGGCAACCAGCUCUCCUACAAUGGCAGGGUAAAUAUUUGAAACUGACAACUAGCAAUGUGACUAACUACAGUGACCGUGCCCUUGUCACUACUCACCUAGAUUACUGCAACCCACUCUACAUGGGACUGCCUCUAGAGACCACUCAGAAACUUUUGUUGUUCCAAAGCAUAGUGGCCUAAGCAUUAUCUGGCACUUACAUGAGGUAGCACAUUAUGCCUGUUCUACAGGCUCUUGGCUUCCAGCUGCAAUUUAAAGUGCUGGUGUUAACCUAUAAAGCCCUUUAUGGAUUGGCAUCAAGUUACCUUCUUGCGUGCUGGGACUAGCAGCAGGUGAUUCCCCACUUAGGGAGAUGUGGGGAAUUGAGGCACAGAAGCACUGCUUUUCUGUAGCAGUAGAAAGGCCUUCCAUCAGAAUGUAGGUUAGCCCAGACUUUGGUUGACUUAUGAAAACAGCUGAAGAUGGAGCUCUUCCAGAAGGCAUUUGAGACCCUGUUUUUUGGAUUUUGUGAUUUGCAUGUUUCAGGUUUGUAUGAUUUUAACUGGACCGUGGAUAUCUUAAUAUUCUUUGUAUUCCUGUAAAGCUGACAAGACUCCCGUGGCAGCAUAUAAAUGUAAUAAAAUAAU